UGAACGCUAGCGGUGCGCCUAACACAUGCAAGUCGUGCGAUAUAGCGGCGAACGGGUGAGUAACACGUUGGAACCUGCCCCGAACUCAGGGAUAGCCACUCGAAAGGGUGAUUAAUACCGGAUGCCCCAGUAAUGGGAAAGAUUUAUCGGUUCGGGAGGGGCCUGCGGCCUAUCAGCUUGUUGGUAGUGUAAUAGACUACCAAGGCUACGACGGGUAACUGGUCUGAGAGGAUGAUCAGUCACAAUGGAACUGAGACACGGUCCAUACUCCUACGGGAGGCAGCAGUGAGGAAUCUUCCGCAAUGGGCGAAAGCCUGACGGAGCGACACCGCGUGAAGGAUGAAGGCCUUUUGGUUGUAAACUUCUUUUCUGGGGGAAUAACUGAUGAAGGUACCCCAGGAAUAAGCACCGGCUAAUUAC
rnacentral:rRNA from 1 species